ensembl:processed_transcript
ACUUCAAACAAACUUUAUUGUUAUUGUCAAGGACAGAUAUAUGUAAUAAUUUCGCUGGUAAGGUGAAUAAAAAACAAUAUUGUAAUCAAUAUCACGUUUGCACUGGUUCGGUUCAGCACUCGAGCGGCUCUGAAUCGUAUUGAACCGAAUUGAACCGUUUGCUCGGGAAUUAUUUGAUCACACGUAUUCACAAGCACAUUCAGCAAUAUGCAAUUAGUGUAUAAUUAGUGUAUAAAUGCGUGUGGCCAAGCAGUAUAACGAAAUAGUAAUGAAUCAUAUACAAAAAGGAAUCGGUUUUAGGCGGAUUCGAUUCUUUACUGUUCACUAAGGAGCCAAUUCAUAGAACCGAACGGACACGACUCGACAUGCAGGCCACAACACUGAGAUGAAGGCGAAGUCACCAUGAAAAGUUAAACGUUUACCGUUAAGCUACAGUAAUUGAUGUUGAAAAACUGAUGCUACCAAUCACUCCUCACUUGAUUUAUCAAGGUAAUGUUGAUGUCUUCCUCAUUUUGAUUAGAUUUUUAAAUGUCAAGUUGUUCACAGAUUUGUUGUGAGGAGUUUCAUGUACAACCUCUUUUGCUUCUUCCAGGAGUUCCUAAGAUAAAAAAAUCUGGUGUUAAAACAGCCACGGCUAUGCUAUUUGCCUACCAAGUGCUGAGUAAAUAUUAGACAAACAAUUUUUCUAUAACUGUUGUCUUUGUGUUUAUUAGCAAUUUUACUGGGCGUAUGUGUUUUUUUUUUUCAAACAGCCUGGAAACUGUAAGUUUAGUUCAAUAUGUUAUUUUAUGCUAUUCAUUUUUGUCUUAACAUGGAUUGCAUGUUGAAGCUAUCGUUUUAUAGUGGGAAAAUGUAAAAGAGAAUAACUGAAUACAAUGGCAUAAUGAUUCUGCUUGUUCACAGAAGGUACUUGAUUUAGUUUUCCUCAAGCGACACAUCAGUUUUUAUGACUAUUGCUUGACACUUGAAUUGAAGGGACAGUUCACCCCAAAAUGAAAAUAAUAGCAUCUUUGGCAUCCUCCACUUGUUUCAAAAUAGUUAUAUAUUUAUUUUGUUCCGUUGGACUAGAAAC